GUUGCAGUUAAAAAGCUCGUAGUUGGAUUUCGGUUGAGAGCGGCCGGUCCGCCGUUUGGUGUGCACUGGCUGGUUUCAACUUCCUGCGGAGGACGCGCUCUGGGCUUAACGGUCUGGACGUGGAGUCCGCGUGGUUACUUUGAAAAAAUUAGAGUGUUCAAAGCGGGCUUACGCUUGAAUAUUUCAGCAUGGAAUAACACUAUAGGACUCCUGUCCUAUUUCGUUGGUCUCGGGACGGGAGUAAUGAUUAAGAGGAACAGUUGGGGGCAUUCGUAUUUCAUUGUCAGAGGUGAAAUUCUUGGAUUUAUGAAAGACGAACUUCUGCGAAAGCAUUUGCCAAGGAUGUUUUCAUUAAUCAAGAACGAAAGUUGGGGGCUCGAAGAUGAUUAGAUACCAUCCUAGUCUCAACCAUAAACGAUGCCGACUAGGGAUUGGCGGAUGUUAAUUGAUGACUCCGCCAGCACCUCAUGAGAAAUCAAAGUUUUUGGGUUCCGGGGGGAGUAUGGUCGCAAGGCUGAAACUUAAAGGAAUUGACGGAAGGGCACCACCAGGCGUGGAGCCUGCGGCUUAAUUUGACUCAACACGGGGAAACUUACCAGGUCCAGACAUAGUAAGGAUUGACAGAU
rnacentral:rRNA from 1 species